ACUUGCGCCCCGAGUCAGGUUCCUCGGGGGUAAAAGACAGAUAGCAAAAGCACCUACAUCUCCGGGUCGUUUGUGAGGACCCAAUGAGAUUAUGUAAAGUGCUGGCAGACCGUAAGGCACAGUGUGGCUGUUUGCUGUUGUUGUUGUUGUUGUUACGAAGGCUGCGUAUCGGGGGGUGACAGAGCUGCAUCGCAAAGCCAGCCCCUCCUGACUCGAGUUUAAUUCAAGUUUGACCAGAGCCAAGUGAAAUGCAUCACUUCCCCAUGAUAAGAACCAUCCCCAAACCCCAAAGAUGGAUGACUGACGUCUCUCUCGAGUCAGCUUGGUGACAGACAAUCAGGAGAAGGAUGGGAGGGCAGGGAGUCGAGCCUCUGGGGUGGAUCCGGCCUAGAAGAGCAGGUUUCUUUCAAGGUCUAAAUGGAGGGUCCUUUGACAAGUGGACCUCCCAGGAGGCAGCAUGGAUUUCCAGGAGGAGCAUCUGGAGAUGGAUCCAUAUCCCCCCUGUUUCUUAUCACGUCUGCCAUUCCUGUGGGCCAAGUGUCUGGCAUUCAGGCCCACCUUCUGUUGCCUGCCAUGGUUCACCUGUCUGCUAAGUGCCUAACUACAGCAUAAAAGCUGUUAUUCUGGGAGAUGGAGAAGCUACAUGGGCCACAUGAAGAAUGAUUUCUGGGACUCUAGCCUACAGGUUUCAGCUUGUCAUCCCACGUGAAGUACAAGUGGCAAAAACUUCCUGCUCCAUUCCACAAAAAGGAAAAUGAGACCAUGGAGGGAAGUGACUCACUAGAUUCACACGACAAGUCAGCAAUUAAGCCACAAAAACAGAUCAAGAUUCUGACUGUUAAACCCACAGCUCUUACCACUGGAAGGUAUUGCCCUACUGACCAAAAAGAUACUGGUUCAUGCCUUUGAGUUAUGGGUGUGGUGGAUGAUUUAAGCAUGCAACAGGUAUUCCUGAGGCUGAAUGGUUACCUCUCCUCUUCUUCUCCCCUUGAAUCCAUUGUGUAUACCCCUUCCAGACUGAUCAUCCUAAAAUAUCCGUACAAUCAUGAUACUCAAAUGGUUUUCUUUUGUUUAGGACAUCAAGUUCCAACUCCUCCACUUAAUUCUUUAUAUGUUCCCUAACUUAUCUCUAACGCAACCAAUCCAAGAUUAUUUCUCUCUAAAAUAUGAACCUGUAAAGAAACAUCACUAGAAUUACUAGAAUGAAAGAAAACUCACAGCUGAGUUUUUUUUCCAUCCCACCUUCAUUCAGGGUAUGACUUGUAACCCCAAACUGGUAAGCUCUCCUUUUUUAUUUCUACAGGGCCUUGUAUAGUCUCUGGGGUACUUGAAUUUCCCUAAAUAUCCUGCCCUAGGCAGGGGCAAAGUCUUUUUUUUUACUUCAUCCAAGCCAAAAAUGGAGUUUUCCAUAAAAGACUUUGCUAGCAACUAAGGGAAUAAUAAUAAUUAGAAUUAGAAUUGGAAUUUA